CCCGCCGCUCUCUCCCCCACACACUCACACGGGGAGCGACGCGCACCCUGCCAGCCCCUCCACCGCACAGGCCCGGCCCCUUAAAGGGACACGCACUGGCCGCACGUCGGCCGCCAGUCGGCGCUCCGGCAGCUGCCGGGCGACCCCCAGGCCGGGGCGGGUUGGCCGGCCCGGGUCUACCCGCGGCUUCCCGGAACAAUAAGCCCCAGGUCCGAGCGUCGUGGACUCGCCCGGGACCCCAAGCGGUGGCGCCGCCGCGACCUCUCUCCCCGAGGCCCCCCGAGGCGGCCUGAGGCUGAGGCGUGACCCGGCCCGGCUCCCGGCUGUUGGCAGGCGACGUCCGGGGAACGGCCCGAGCCCGCCGGGACUCUAACCUUCCUGCCCCUCAGACCUUAGCACCGACGUCCGCUGCCGCGCCGACGACGGCCCCUCCCCCGGGCCCCGGGACUCCGAGGUACCGCGGUCGCCGCUCCUCCCGAGCCUGUCUCCCUUCUCUCCUUGAUCUCUCCUCGCGUUCUCUCCCCCUUGCCUCUUCAUCUCGCCCCUCAGCGGGUACGGAAACGGAGCCAGGCCGCGGAUUCGCCCGGAGCCCAAGCUCACCGGACGCCCUCUCCUCCUUCCCGCCUCCCUCUGGGUCAUCUGUCCCCUCCCCCCCAACUCGGCCAGGCCACCACGCCAGCCUUCCGCGGGGUUCUUAAGGCAUCGAGCAAACAUCCUUUUUUAAAGGCUGCUAAUCACUGCAGCCCGCAAAGAUGACAAGAAACUCCUGAAGUGUUCACGUUGGAUUUUUCUGUCAGGACUACAUUGUUGAGCAACUAAUAGUCUGCUGACAUCCAGACAAAAAAUCUGGAAUUUACCACCAACAGAAAAUACUCUCGGAUACAAGAAGGAACAAUGAGCAAAGAAAUUGUAUUUACAGGUCAUAAAGAAUGAUACUCCACCGAAGGGACAAAGGUGAAGAAAACAGGAAAGUGUGGUCUUAUGGAAGCCAUGAGAAGAAAGCCUCCAAAUGAACAGAGAAAUUCAAAAGCUUCCCACUCUCAACUACUUUUCCUAUUUAUCUUUGUAUGUUAUCAAUUGCUGCAUAAUAAAACAGUGAUUUAAAUUAAAAAAUA